rnacentral:rRNA from 1 species
UGGGGAAUUUUGGACAAUGGGCGCAAGCCUGAUCCAGCCAUGCCGCGUGCAGGAUGAAGGCCUUCGGGUUGUAAACUGCUUUUGUACGGAACGAAAAGGUGCCUUCUAAUAAAGGGCGCUCAUGACGGUACCGUAAGAAUAAGCACCGGCUAACUACGUGCCAGCAGCCGCGGUAAUACGUAGGGUGCGAGCGUUAAUCGGAAUUACUGGGCGUAAAGCGUGCGCAGGCGGUUUUGUAAGACAGAUGUGAAAUCCCCGGGCUUAACCUGGGAACUGCGUUUGGGACUGCAAGGCUGGAGUACGGCAGAGGGGGGUGGAAUUCCACGUGUAGCAGUGAAAUGCGUAGAGAUGUGGAGGAACACCGAUGGCGAAGGCAGCCCCCUGGGCCUGUACUGACGCUCAUGCACGAAAGCGUGGGGAGCAAACA